GGGUGAGUAAUAUAUCGGAACGUACCCUGGAGUGGGGGAUAACGUAGCGAAAGUUACGCUAAUACCGCAUACGAUCUAAGGAUGAAAGUGGGGGAUCGCAAGACCUCAUGCUCCUGGAGCGGCCGAUAUCUGAUUAGCUAGUUGGUAGGGUAAAAGCCUACCAAGGCAUCGAUCAGUAGCUGGUCUGAGAGGACGACCAGCCACACUGGAACUGAGACACGGUCCAGACUCCUACGGGAGGCAGCAGUGGGGAAUUUUGGACAAUGGGCGCAAGCCUGAUCCAGCAAUGCCGCGUGAGUGAAGAAGGCCUUCGGGUUGUAAAGCUCUUUUGUCAGGGAAGAAACGGCCUGUUCUAAUACAGCGGGCUAAUGACGGUACCUGAAGAAUAAGCACCGGCUAACUACGUGCCAGCAGCCGCGGUAAUACGUAGGGUGCAAGCGUUAAUCGGAAUUACUGGGCGUAAAGCGUGCGCAGGCGGUUUUGUAAGUUUGUCGUGAAAUCCCCGGGCUCAACCUGGGAAUGGCGAUGAAGACUGCAAGGCUAGAGUUUGGCAGAGGGGGGUAGAAUUCCACGUGUAGCA
rnacentral:rRNA from 1 species